GGCAGCAGCCAUAUCACUCUGCAACUCACAACUGGCAACUCACUGAAGCUAAGCAGGUGUGAGCCUGGUCAGUACCUGGAUGGGAGACCUCCUGGGAAAAACUAAGGUUGCUGCUGGAA
ensembl:rRNA 5S_rRNA 5S ribosomal RNA